rnacentral:rRNA from 1 species
UACAGGGGGUGCAAACGUUGCUCGGAAUCAUUGGGCGUAAAGCGCACGUAGGCGGUUCGUUAUGUCGGAUGUGAAAGCCCUUGGCUUAACCGAGGAAGUGCAUCCGAAACUGGCGAGCUAGAGUACGAAAGAGGAUCGCGGAAUUCCCGGUGUAGAGGUGAAAUUCGUAGAUAUCGGGAGGAACACCGGUGGCGAAGGCGGCCUUCUGGACGGUGACUGACGCUGAGACGCGAAAGCGUGGGGAGCAAACAGG